CUCACACAAUCCUGGUGACAGCAUCUCAUUCAUGCGGUCAAGUAAGUGUUACAAUAGCAAUGACAAUGGGAGGCAAAGCUGUAAAAUGGAGCAAAUCCGGAAAGAUUACCUCAAUUCGAAUUGUUCUCUGUAACUCGAAAACAUGAAGUUGGAAUCCCUGGAUAAACAUGCCGCGGUGAAUAUGUACCUGGG
rnacentral:ncRNA from 1 species